UCCGAUUUGUCACCGGCAGUCUCCUUAGAGUGACCGACUUAACGCUGGCAACUAAGGGUAGGGGUUGCGCUCGUUGCGGCACUUAAGCCAACACCUCACGGCACGAGCUGACGACAGCCAUGCGACACCUGUGCUAGCCCCUUACGGACACGGGCUUUCACCCGCUUUAACUAGCAUGUCAAGUCUAGGUAAGGUUCUUCGCGUUGCAUCGAAUUAAACCACAUGCUCCACCGCUUGUGCGGGCCCCCGUCAAUUCCUUUGAGUUUUAGCCUUGCGGCCGUACUUCCCAGGCGGAGAACUUAAUGCGUUAGCUACGGCACUGCGGGGGUCAACACCCACAACACCUAGUUCUCAUCGUUUACGGCGUGGACUAC
rnacentral:misc_RNA from 1 species